CCUACGGGCGGCAGCAGUCGAGAAUCAUUCACAAUGGGGGAAACCCUGAUGGUGCGACGCCGCGUGGGGGAAUGAAGGUCUUCGGAUUGUAAACCUCUGUUAUGUGAGAGCAAAUUAUAAAGAUAGUACCCCAAGAGGAAGAGACGGCUAACUCUGUGCCAGCAGCCGCGGUAAUACAGAGGUCUCAAGCGUUGUUCGGAAUCACUGGGCGUAAAGCGUGCGUAGGCUGUUUCGUAAGUCGUGUGUGAAAGGCGCGGGCUCAACCCGCGGACGGCACAUGAUACUGCGAGACUAGAGUAAUGGAGGGGGAACCGGAAUGCUCGGUGUAGCAGUGAAAUGCGUAGAUAUCGAGAGGAACACUCGUGGCGAAGGCGGGUUCCUGGACAUUAACUGACGCUGAGGCACGAAGGCCAGGGGAGCGAAAGGGAUUAGAUACCCGAGUAGUC
rnacentral:rRNA from 1 species